GAUGACCUAGAGGUUAGAGCAUCUGCCUCGAAUGCAGGAGGCCAUGGGUUCCAUCCCCGGCUGAAUCA